GUAUAGAUUUUUUUUAAAGGCAAUUGAAGCCCAUUAAUGACAUUCAAUAGACAUACAAAUAGGGGUAUAUAUAAAAACAUAGACUAGAAAGUGUAAGGAAAGCUGGCUUGCGCCCAACAGUCCUCAGACCGAGUUUUACUCGAAAGGUAUCCAUGUCUACAAAAGGGUGCACAGGUGAUUAAAAAGUUGGUGUUAGGUGUGCACAUGCCCCGGAAGGCCAGCUACAACCCAACCAAGCUAUUCAAUAAUGAUCCUUCCGCAGGUUCACCUACGGAAA
rnacentral:misc_RNA from 1 species